UAACUUUAUAAAGGGAAGGGAAUCAAAACUCAUUUGCAUAUGGGCUCAUUCCAUCUCUUCAGCUCACAUGUUUAUAGCUCUGGAAAGUCCCUCUCUGAUUCCCUGGCCGAUAAGGAGUCAGGAAGGUAACACAGCACAGGAGAGGUGAGAUCUGUUUUGCUGACCUUGCAAGAGGGGUACACUGAAGGCUCCAUUCACCUUGCUCGGAGGGCUCAGCUGGGAGGUUUGGGUGCUGCUUAUCCUUUAGAUUUCAAAGCUCAAACCAUGCAUGCAGAGUUGAAAACUCAAGUCAGAGAAACCCCCACUCUUGCGCAGGAGGAAGCUCUGGUCAGGCGCUCGAUACUUCAGCUUCCUGUCUGUACACUACGCGGUCUCAUCUGGGAAAAUCCUGAAAACAUUAUCAGAUGCCUGAUAAGCUCUUUAGCUUUCAAGUACCUAGUGAUUCAGUUUCGGUCAAAACCUUAUUUGAAUACAGUUUAGAAGUCUAAAUAAAAAGCGAGACCCUAAAGGAGAAGACACACACUUGCAGUCUAACAUCUGUGCAUGCAAAACAAUGUGGCUGAAGUUUGAUAUCAGCAUAAACAAAUCUACUUCUCCAUAUCUGCACCAAGAUGGUCAGAGCAUGUGUUCAGCUUAUUAAAAAGAAGGAGAAUUAGAUGUCUGGUUAAUUAACACUUUUAUUUAUCCACAAACACAGCAGAAGCAGCAGCACGGAUUGCUUACUCCAUUCCAACGUUGUUCACCAUUGACAUGAAGCAGAUUGUUUCUGAGAGAAAAAGGCUGCUUAAAACUCCAAUGCCCACUCCUCCCAUGGGCUUUUCUGGCAAAGCUGGCAAGUGACGAGACUUGUUUUAUUCCAUGUAGACUCCUAUUUACCAGGCAUUAGACAGAUUUUUCCAAACCCCGUUCACAGACUCAGAACAGGUUGACAGCAUUUAACCCUGUGGAUUUAGUCCUGGAAGAGUUAACCUCCACCAGGUCCAACAUUUUCCAGUUCAGAUGGGUAUUUUCUGAGGAUUCACUCACAGGAAAUCACAACCUCUUCACUGGUUGUCUUCAUCCCAGUCAGGCCGGGGGACUUAUCUAGGAUACAUUCCAGGAGGUUCUCCUUCACACAGAACUUCUGAAGACAAAGAAAUGCACUCCAUCUAUGAGUCUGGAACAACUAGGAGCAUUUUCCCAUGUAUUGCAUGUCUGCAAGCAGAGAGAGCAGACUCCCAGCACAGAAAACCUGUAUUAAACACUCUCCAUAUUUGCUGCUGCACUCACCCCAAGCGUUACCACAAAAGCAUGCAAAAAAAAAGAAAAUUUGAGAGAUAUUUAUUGUUAAUAACCACAUUCCUCUGAGUGAGUACAGAAGUUCAGGCUGUCCAUCCUCAGGGCAGAAAUAUGUACCAUCUUUUCAUGCCAAGAUCUGGUUUACAGAUCUUCAACUAUGCUAAUACACAGGUUACAAUUCACUAGAGCAGAGGUUUCAGACACAAAACUACUCACCAUUUUAAUACCCACAUCAAAAUAUAUAACAACAAAGAUCCCAAAUGCAUGUGAAACUGGGAUUUUGCUUUUCAGAAGCAUGAGAGAUCUGAUGGGCUAAAAAAAUACCAUUGUCUGAGGACUCAGAUGCUGCCCUGGGUCACAUCUGUGCACAGAGAAGCCAAGGCUCUAGUAAGACUUACCAAUUAGGAUGCUUUAAUGGAUUUGAAUGAGUCAUUGCACAGGAAGAGAGCAACAGUGAAAUCUCAGGCUGAGAUUCAGCUGUGUUUGCAGUGCUCACUUGUACAACUUUCAAAAUGCCUCCUCACUCCAGUCUCGGAUUUAAAAACUUCUUUGUAAAAGACACUGAAUUAAAUUAAUAUAUUCCCUACUGAGCAGUGCAUCCUUGCUGGUUCUUUAAGUACAGACAAUUCAUGUUUCCUGUGCCCCAGAAGGUAGGUGUCAUUGUGUGCAUGUGUCACAGCUGGAUAACCUCAAGCAGAGAGCAGCUGACCAGAACCCAAGUGCCUUGGUGAGAACAGCACUUUCUCAGCCCUUGGCACAUCUUCCAAGCAAAAGCAGGAAAGUGAACAGUAAAGCCAAAACAUUUACAGAGGCCUUUAGAGGGCAAGGAUGACACGACAGGUUCUUCAUUUUGCUUGCGAAACAAAUGCAGGAACCAACAGGGGGCAAAGAGAAGAAAGGUAGUACAGAGUGGAAGAGACUGGCAGUAUGUUGUGCACUGUCCUGACAGCUGACAUCAGUCAGGACAUCUAUUAUCAUCUUAGCAUCUCAUCUGGAAAGUUUUGAAAUUAAUUUCUUUUUUGACAGGAAGUCUAGAUCUCAGCCUAACUGAGUGGCUGGAAUCUCUUGAGGCAAUAUUGUGUUAAGUCAAACAAGACAGCACUACAGCCCUGAGUGCAGUACUCUCAGAAGCACACACGUGGUGAUGCAGUGCAUUUUACAGGCACUAAAGCACAGCCCAGGUGCCAGAGAUAGUUCCAGCUCCUCUGCUCUCUUUACUGCUUUUCACUGUACCCCUUAUCAACAGAAGAAGCAGCCUUCCUUCUUCCACUGAAGGAGAAGGUCCUCCCAGAAGGGAGCAUCUCUCCCAAGGUAGUUAAAACUUUACAGAAGAAUAAAACUUGCAGGCAUCAGAGAUAAAUCAUGUCCUGUAUAUAAAAUAUCUUCCACAAAAAUACAGCCUUCAGAAAGCAGAGUAGACAUACAGUCAUUUCAUGCAUGAUUUCAUAAAUCUUUCAUCCCUGCUUAAUGUAUUUCUUUGUGACAGGCAGUGAGGUAUAAGUUAUGAAUUCCAACAGGAGCUGAAGCUUAGUCCCAUUGAAAACUACAGCAAAAUCCUCAUUGCUUUUAAAGAAACUGGAAUUUCUUCUUCAAUAGUCUUAAAAGCAAACUUUCACUUUGUUUCCCAUGAGAGGUUGGUUCUGUGGGUCUUUUGCUACACAGAGCCUUAUACACAUGCAUAUAUUAUUCUUUACUUUUGUGCAUCUACUUGUCUGGUUUCUUUAAGCUGAAUCGACUUAAAAAUUUUAGGAGCUCUCCCUCUGAUUUCUGUCUCAUUAUAGCUGACAGAGAAACUGAGGAAAUGCUUUGUAAAUCAUGCACCUUUCACAGAGCACUUGGCACAUUUACAAAGGCUAUGGCCAUAUCACAAGCCAGGUAGGAUUUGAUUAGCCAUUUCACCACCCACUGUGACAGGCAUAUAAAUAGCACACCGCUCUCCUACCUCUUAUGCAAGCAUUGAAGAGCUGUCAGGCAUGCCUGGGUAGCAGAGAGGACAGGGGAUGGUAGAAAUAACUCUUCUGUGUGCUUCUGAUGACCUGUGCAGCUUCCAAA
ensembl:lncRNA